rnacentral:rRNA from 1 species
CAGCCGCCGCGGUAAUACCAGCGCCUCGAGUGAUAUCCACGAAUACUGGGCCUAAAGCGUCCGUAGCCGGAUAAGUAAGUCCACUGUGAAAUGUUGGAGCUCAACUCCAUCGCUUGCAGUAGAUACUGCUAGUCUCGGGAACGGGGGAGGGUCGGAGUACGUCCAGGGUAGGGGUAAAAUCUGUUGAGCCUGGACGGACUACCAGUGGCGAAGGCGCCGAUCCAAAACGUGUUCGACGGUGAGGGACGAAAGCUAGGGGAGCGAACGGGAUUAGAUACCCCGGUAGUCCUAGCUGUAAAUAAUGCUGACUGUGGUGUUGCGCAUGAGUAAUCAUGUGCAGUGCUGUAGCGUAGGUCUUAAGUCAGCCGCCUGGGGAGUACGAUCGCAAGAUUUAAACUUAAAGGAAUUGGCGGGGGAGCACCACAAGCCGUGGAUGCUACGGUUUAAUUGGAUACAACGCCGGAAAUAUCACCAGUGGAGACGGCAGAAUGACAGCCAGGCUGAAGGUCUUGCUUGACAAGCCGAGAGGUAUUGCAUGGCCAUCGUCAGCUCGUGGUGUGAACUGUCCUGUUAAGUCAGGCAACGAGCGAGACCCAUGCGUUUAGUUACUAACUUUCCCUCCGGGGAAGGUGUACCUUAAACGGACUGCCCGCGCUAAGUGGGAGGAAGGAGUGGGCAACGGUAGGUCAGUAUGGUCCGAAACUACUUGGGCUACACGCGGCAUACAGUGGGUGGAACAAUGGGCUGCAACUUCGAAAGGAGGAGCCAAUCCCCGAAAUCCAUCCGUGGUUCGAAUUGAGGGUUGAAACCCACCCUCAUGAAGAUGGAAUGGCUAGUAAUCGCGUGUCACUAUCGCGCGGUGAAUGUGUCCCUGCCCCUUGCACAC